rnacentral:misc_RNA from 1 species
GAUGAAGAACGUAGCAAAAUGCGAUAAUUAAUGUGAAUUGCAGAAUUCAGUGAAUCAUCGAGUCUUUGAACGCACAUUGCGCCCCCUGGUAUUCCGGGGGGCAUGCCUGUCCGAGCGUCAUUGCUGCCCUCAAGCACGGCUUGUGUGUUGGGCCUCCGUCCUCCUCCCGGGGGACGGGCCCGAAAGGCAGCGGCGGCACCGCGUCCGGUCCUCGAGCGUAUGGGGCUUCGUCACCCGCUCUUGUAGGCCCGGCCGGCGCUUGCCGACACAUCAAUCUUUUUUCCAGGUUGACCUCGGAUCAGGUAGGGAUACCCGCUGAACUUAAGCAUAUCAAUAAGCGGAGGA